GGAGGAAAAGAAACCAACAGGGAUUGCCCCAGUAACGGCGAGUGAAGCGGCAAGAGCUCAAAUUUGAAAGCUGGCUCCUUCGGGGUCCGCAUUGUAAUUUGUAGAGGAUGCUUCGGGAGCGGUCCCCAUCUAAGUGCCCUGGAACGGGACGUCAUAGAGGGUGAGAAUCCCGUAUGGGAUGGGGUGUCCGCGCCCGUGUGAAGCUCCUUCGACGAGUCGAGUUGUUUGGGAAUGCAGCUCUAAAUGGGUGGUAAAUUUCAUCUAAAGCUAAAUAUUGGCCGGAGACCGAUAGCGCACAAGUAGAGUGAUCGAAAGAUGAAAAGCACUUUGAAAAGAGAGUUAAAAAGCACGUGAAAUUGUUGAAAGGGAAGCGCUUGCGACCAGACUCGCUCGCGGGGUUCAGCCGGCAUUCGUGCCGGUGUACUUCCCCGCGGGCGGGCCAGCGUCGGUUUGGGCGGUCGGUCAAAGGCCCUCGGAAGGUAACGCCCCUAGGGGCGUCUUAUAGCCGAGGGUGCAAUGCGACCUGCCUAGACCGAGGAACGCGCUNCGGCUCGGACGCUGGCAUAAUGGUCGUAAACGACCCGUCUU
rnacentral:rRNA from 1 species